UAACGAAUACAACAAUAUUAGACAAAAUACUUCGACAGACCAUUUCAUACUAUUUGAUGAAAGAGGAUAUGACUACAACUCUCUUAAGUUGGAGGUUCUGAUGAAAGAUUGUACUUAGGAGGUUGUUUGGCUGGGGUCAAAGUAAUGCUUGGCUCUUUGCUGAUAGAGCAUUGCUUUUAUGGCCAUGGUUAAUGACACGGUACAGAAGUCCAAUUUAUCUCAUUAAACUCGAUAUGAUAUCCAAUGCAAGGAAAGUAACAUUGUUGACAGAUGAUUUAUAUAAAUUUAGUGUUACUUGUCUCGAUUAGUGUCUGUUCAUUUUUCAAGAUCGCUGGCGCAUUUGGAUGAAAGAGUGUAAGAGCAGACAAGAACAUGAAAAAAAUUUUAAAAUUUGCCGUUGAGGCCUCGUAAUUAAACGUUUCCUCUUUCGAGUUCAUCUACUAGUCAGUCUUUGCAUUGAUGCCAUUAAUGAAUUUGUUUUGGAAAUUAACGAAAAAAGGGAAAUGAGCAUAAGUACCAACUCGAAGCUUCAAGCUUAACGGGGAAGAAGGGACGUAAAGCUAAUCUAAACUUUAAACA